rnacentral:rRNA from 1 species
GUACCGUAAACCGACACUGGUAGGCAGGGUGAGAAUCCCAAGGCGCUUGAGAGAACUCGGGUGAAGGAACUAGGCAAAAUGGCACCGUAACUUCGGGAGAAGGUGCGCCCUUUGACGUGGUCACAUGCGUGACUGAGCGUUGAAGGGUCGCAGUAACCUGGCCGCUGCGACUGUUUAUCAAAAACACAGCACUCUGCAAACACGAAAGUGGACGUAUAGGGUGUGACGCCUGCCCGGUGCUGGAAGGUUAAUUGAUGGGGUCAGCCGCAAGGCGAAGCUCUUGAUCGAAGCCCCAGUAAACGGCGGCCGUAACGAUAACGGUCCUAAGGUAGCGAAAUUCCUUGUCGGGUAAGUUCCGACCUGCACGAAUGGCGUAACGACAGCGGCGCUGUCUCCACCCGAGACUCAGUGAAAUUGAAUUCGCUGUGAAGAUGCAGCGUUCCCGCGGCAAGACGGAAAGACCCCGUGAACCUUUACUAUAGCUUUACACUGAACGUUGAGUUCUUCUGUGUAGGAUAGGUGGGAGGCUUUGAAGCGCAGACGCCAGUUUGCGUGGACCCAACCUUGAAAUACCACCCUGAAGUGCUUGACGUUCUAACCUCGGCCCGUAAUCCGGGUCAGGGACCGUGUAUGGUGGGUAGUUUGACUGGGGCGGUCUCCUCCCAAAGAGUAACGGAGGAGCACGAAGGUACGCUCAGCGCGGUCGGACAUCGCGCACUGUGUGCAAUGGCAUAAGCGUGCUUGACUGCGAGAUCGACGGAUCAAGCAGGUACGAAAGUAGGUCAUAGUGAUCCGGUGGUUCUGUAUGGAAGGGCCAUCGCUCAACGGAUAAAAGGUACUCCGGGGAUAACAGGCUGAUACCGCCCAAGAGUUCAUAUCGACGGCGGUGUUUGGCACCUCGAUGUCGGCUCAUCACAUCCUGGGGCUGUAGCCGGUCCCAAGGGUAUGGCGGUUCGCCAUUUAAAGUGGUACGCGAGCUGGGUUCAGAACGUCGUGAGACAGUUCGGUCCCUAUCUGUCGUGGGCGUUGGAGAUUUGAGGGGGGCUGCUCCUAGUACGAGAGGACCGGAGUGGACGUUCCGCUGGUGUUCGGGUUGUCAUGCCCAUGGCAUUGCCCGGUAGCUAUGAACGGAAGUGAUAACCGCUGAAAGCAUCUAAGCGGGAAGCACGCCCCAAGAUGAGAUCUCCCGAGAGCUUGACUCUCCUAAAGGCACCAUCAAGACCAGGUGGUUGAUAGGUCAGGUGUGGAAGCGCAGCAAUGCGUUGAGCUAACUGAUACUAAUGAGCCGUGCGGCUUGACCAA